UACGUAGGGUGCGAGCGUUGUCCGGAAUUAUUGGGCGUAAAGAGCUCGUAGGCGGCCUGUUGCGUCCGCUGUGAAAUCCCAGGGCUUAACCCUGGGCGUGCAGUGGAUACGGGCAGGCUGGAGGCAGGCAGGGGAGAACGGAAUUCCCGGUGUAGUGGUGAAAUGCGUAGAUAUCGGGAGGAACACCAGUGGCGAAGGCGACUACCUGGCCCACUCUUGACGCUGAUGUGCGAAAGCGUGGGGAGCGAACAGG
rnacentral:rRNA from 1 species